rnacentral:lncRNA from 1 species
GUAACUUUGGUCCUAAUUUAAAUAUUAUUAAUCUGAUAAUUACAUUUGAGAACAGUAUUCAAUAGGACAUAGACUUCUAAAUUUGAAAUUUCAUAUCCAAUUAAUAAUAGCAUUAGAGCGGUUUAAAAAUUGCAAAUAGCGAGAAAAAAGCGUCAUUUUUCUUCUUCUUCUCCUUCUCCUUCUCCUAUUCAUACACCUCUACAGGUCGCAUCGUUUAACCGAUAUCGAUAAAAUUUGGAAUAUAGGUGCUUUUUUGUUUACUUGAGGUCCCCUGAAAAUUUGACCAUAAUCGGAUCAAAUCAAAGGGGGGAGAAAGGGGAUCCGAUUUCCAUAAAUGCCUUUACAUAUCGCAUUGCUUAACCGAUUUUGAUCA